GUGACAUGGAGCCCUGGUGACGUGGAGCCCUGGUGACGUGGAGCCCUGGUGACGUGGAGCACUGGUGACAUGGAGCCCUGGUGACAUGGAGCCCUGGUGACGUGGAGCACUGGUGACGUGGAGCACUGGUGACAUGGAGCCCUGGUGACGUGGAGCACUGGUGACGUGGAGCCCUGGUGACGUGGAGCACUGGUGACAUGGAGCACUGGUGACAUGGAGCCCUGGUGCUGUGGCUGCAGCCACUGCCUCACGCCCAGCUCAGGGAAAGGAGUCCUCCAGCCCCCCCAGGACCUGAGAGCCAGCGAGGUCCUGAGGGAGCAGCCACAAGGCACCAAGGACAGCAGCAAGGGCCCUUCUUCAACUCCCCUCCCACACCUCUGAGCACCCCUUACCGCCAGCAGUUCAACAGCUGCAAGGGCUAUUCCUACAGGGAGUUUUGUUUGGUUGGGUUUUUGUUUGCAGGAGCUUCCCACUGUUUCAUUCCAACCUAAAGGCAACAUUUUGGGCAGCAGAAACUUUAUUUUGUAGUGGGCACAGAAAUUACUUCUGAUAUUGAUUGCACCCCCUGAGGUUCAGCUGACAGUUGAGGACACACAAAGGAUACACA